UGCCCCGGUGGCCGAAUGGGUAAUGCGGCCACCUGGUAGCGCCUUGGCGUGGGGACCCAAGGCGCGUGGGUUCGAAACCCGCAGGGGACAACAUUACAUCCGGAGCCAACUUCUCAGCUCCUAAAAUAAUGGGAUGUGAACCUGCCAAGUAGGUACCUUCGGGCGGACCUACUACUUGAUUUAGCUGAUUUUUCCUGAGCUGGGAACCUGUAUUGCAUGUACCAAAUCCUGUCUUUCAUUAAUUUUCCUAUGUUUCUGUUAUAUUCUUGGCGUCGUUCAACACUAAGCAUUCCUCCUGUAUAACCAACUCUUGCCUGUAUUUAACAUCACACAAGGACUCGUCAUAAGCACUGCUUGCAUACGAGUAUAACGGAAGAAUAAUAAUAAUAAUAAUAAUCAUUCAAAUAUUUCAUUGAUCAGCAGA
rnacentral:sRNA from 1 species